AAAGAUCUGCAUUAGAGGAAAAAAUAGCUGUAUUUAGAAUAAAUAAGCCAACAGGUUGAAAAACACAAUUUGCUGAUUAUUGGUGGACAGUAUACUAUUGAAUGGAGGAAAGUAAUUAAUAAAUAUUAUAUAUUUGUAGUAUCUGUUA